UCAGGUAGGCGCCGUAGUAAGCGCCACCAUGUCAAAAAGCCAAGGAUUGAAACUAUGUGCAUUGUGCAGUGAACCGAGCCUUUGUGAGAGGACCAAGACAAGAGGUAACACACUGUCCUGGAGUAGUAAUACGCGCCAUCAUUUGGAUCAUAGCAACAUGUAGUUGUGAUCAGCCCUUAUUAUCAGUAUCCAUCAGAAAAAUGUAUGUAUAUAUCAUAUCUAAUUUUUGUGUUUCUACCGUUUGGAUCAGUUUGUUGGCAAUAUAAAAAUGUAGAUAAGGAAGUGAACAAUCUAUGCAUAGAAAAUAAAUGAAAGAAGGUCAUAUAGUCUGAAGAUAUAAUAGCUCGAAUUUUGUCCGACAACUUGGGUGGCAGGGUAAUUUAGUAUAAAUAAGAGAACAAUGGUAGUUCAUAAGGUGUAGUGAUUUAUCCUAUAAUUUAUCUCUUCCCAUCAAACACAUGUUUCUUGCUUCUCUGUGGUUAAACUCUUGUACUCGAUACACAGGACCGUGUGUCCAGUAUGGUACGGCCCUUGGACGCAUGUGCUUCUAUGCAAAGAAGUUAAAAAUAUCACCAUGCGAGCUUCAUUGACUCGAGCAAUUUUUUGGUACAACAAAGCCUGCCAUCAGGUACUGCAUAUGUGAAAUGACCAAGACUUUCACCGCUCCCGGCCAACGGAUGUAUUGUUUGGCCCCAUGCACGAGGAGGUACCUUGCAAGGUACCUUAAACAAUCAAUCGAGGACAUGCGGGUUCAGCUUUCAUGUGGGUGCGCUAAGGAGCGGGCCAGAAUUAUGAAGGGUGUCGAUGAAAGAGCGGUCGUAACAACCAAUUGGUCUGACUUUGUGACAACGAAAGAGCUUGCAAAACAGCAUCAGAUAUGUGCCUUUGCCUUCAAGCCUAAAAAAGGCAGACUGUUGCUCACUGUCCACCCGCUUGAGGUCGGCUACGAAAUCAUACUCAUACUAUUAUGCAAAUACUUGUGAUUUGAUUGGUUAAACAAUAUAAUCCUGGCAGGUUCAUAUAUCAUGGCAUGUAACGAGUCGGCAAUAAGACGAC